CCAAACCGUGCCAGCCAUCCAAGCAGAUGUUUCUCACAUAAACCCACAGAGGUGGUGCACCAAUUCCCUUCAGCACUCAUCUUCUUGGUAUAUUUGUUCAUCCAGUGCCUGGGAUUCAAGGUGCUCAAGGCGGUCUGUUCGGCCACUCAUAAUCUCAUCUGGGGUCUUCAUGAACCUGAACAAAAGCCUUUGUCCUGGCUCCUUCCGGAUAAUAUUUAGUUUGUAGUAAUGGCGUAGGGCUCUGGACAUUUUCUCAUAAGUCAUAUUUGUUCUGUUCUUGUGGUUUCCCCACAGCCGGGCCAGCCCAUUGGGAUCCACUAUCCGAAAAAUUUUGGAUUCC
rnacentral:lncRNA from 1 species